rnacentral:rRNA from 1 species
AUUGAACGCUGGCGGCAUGCUUUACACAUGCAAGUCGAACGGCAGCGCGGGCUUUGGCCUGGCGGCGAGUGGCGGACGGGUGAGUAAUGCAUCGGAACGUGCCCAGUAGUGGGGGAUAGCGCGGCGAAAGGCGGGUUAAUACCGCAUACGACCUGAGGGUGAAAGCGGGGGACCGAAAGACCUCGCGCUAUUGGAGCGGCCGAUGUCGGAUUAGCUAGUUGGUGGGGUAAAGGCUUACCAAGGCGACGAUCCGUAGCUGGUCUGAGAGGACGACCAGCCACACUGGAACUGAGACACGGCCCAGACUCCUACGGGAGGCAGCAGUGGGGAAUUUUGGACAAUGGGGGCAAGCCUGAUCCAGCCAUGCCGCGUGUGGGAAGAAGGUCUUCGGGUUGUAAACCGCUUUUGUUCGGGAAGAAAUCCUCUGGGCUAAUACCCCGGGGGGAUGACGGUACCGGAAGAAUAAGCACCGGCUAACUACGUG